ensembl:lncRNA
CCUAAUGAAGAUGUCUUUACAUCAGCCUUGGCGCCACUGGCUUUUCUGGGCUUUAUGUCUACUUGUAGCUUUUAAUGCGACCGUGUCAUUGCUUUUGUUUUUUGUGUAUUAGCCCUGUGAGCAUUUACAAGUUAGAAAAAUGCCCCCAGUCCAUUUCCCCAAAUUGUCACAUGUAGCAAAGAGUCCAUCAGAAAUAAUUAGUUUGUUACGUGCUGUCAAAACGAGCAAUGCAAAUCAAAGUCCAGCAUCUUGUUAUGUGAUAAUUUAUCGAUCCAGUCAGAGAAGAUAACAUCUAAUUUACUAAUGAAGGGUUAUUGAACAGUGCACCUUAGAGGAAAGCAAAGACAGAGAAGAGCUCUGCUCAGCCAGCUGGAUGACUUUUUUUCUAUGCCGUCGAAGCUGCUUGCUAAUAGAAAUUGUUUUUUUCCCUCACAUACCGGAAUGAUAUUCAUCACAGUGCUUUCAGUGAGAUGACACAGUAAUGCAUUUUGGACAGGCCAAUUUCCCCGGAAGCUUAGCAAGUAUAAAAUGUUCUUUUAUUUUUUUGUUUUCUUUUGUUUAAAAUUUAAUGUAAGGUGUUUUUACUGUCUCUACUGACUAUUUUUUUUCUGAGGUCAAAUUGUGAUAAGAACAUUAAUGCUGUACAUGUUAAGAAGACUAGUACUUUAUUGCUAAUUGUGCAAAUAACAGUCCAGUAUUGAGAACUGAGCUUAAAUCUUGUUCUCAGAGGCAGUGUCACUUCAAGAUGAUGUGUCUUCCAUAGUAUCAGACAUACUGGUAGACUGAUUGAAUUUUCUGGCAUUUUAUUUGAAAUUGUAAGUGUAUACUUUCAUAACGAUGAAUCUUAAGAAGCAAUUUAUUGCUUCUGAGAUCAGUCAAGCAGUGUUUUGUACCUGUAAUGUGUUUUGUUUUUUGUUUUUUAUUUUAUUUGGAGAGAUUAUGAGACAUCUUCAAUGACUACAGUGUUCUGUUUGUUGGUGCCAGCUUUACAAUGUUAUUCUGAAGGUCAAAUCCAAGUGAAAUCAGGACAGACUAGUGUAUAAAGCACUGACUCGUGGAACAGUCUGUGAUUUUAAAUCAAUUUUUGUUUUAUAUGAUGGGAAUAAGGCCAUGAGCCAGCACUCUCAGUAGGAGUCUUAGUGUUGGUGUUAAUAAGAAAGGCUGUUGACAUCAGUAAGCUCAAGAUGAAGUAUACAACAGGUGGAGCUAACUGGGUUUAUAAAGUCCAGUUUUGCUGGUAAUUGUUUCCAACGUGGGCAAGAGACAAGAGUAAUAUUUUUAGUUACGUGAUGUCCAUUUUCUUAACAGAAGAAGCUUUUGCUUUUGCCUAGUACAAUGGAAAAUCUCUGAAAAAGGUGGUCUUAGAAAAUAUCUAUUAUGAAUGGAAAUGUAUAAUUUCUGUUUUCAUUGGGAAAUGUUCUAAGGCCACUUACAAUUUGAAUUCUGUCAUUCUGCAGUGAAAACCAUAUUAGUGAUUGUAAAACAUUCAAGACAGUACAUUUAGAAAAAGACUGAUUUAGCAUCACUUGUUUGGAAAGAUUGCCAGGAAAAACCUCUCUAAAAGAAUAUUCAAUUAAUUUAAUUCGAUUCAGUUCAGUUCAGUGCCAAAUCACAACAACAGUUGCCUCAAGGUGCUUUAUAGUGCAAGGUAGGGACCUUUCAAU